rnacentral:RNase_P_RNA from 1 species
GGGUGAAAAGGCGAGGUAAGAGCUCACCGCAUCCCCGGUAACGGGGAUGGCACGGCAAACCUCAUCGCGAGCAAGGUCGAACAGCGAUGGAUUACCCGUCCAACCCACACCGCAAGGUGUGGAGAAAUCGCGGGUGGACUGCUUGAUCGAACUGGCAACAGUUCGACAAGAGAGAUGGCGAUCGCUUCCUGAGGGCAACACCCUCUGGAAGUACAGAACCCGGCUUACAGGCCCGCCUUUUUU